ensembl:ncRNA D1065.7 ncRNA
CAGGCACUACAACGACGGACAAAGCAACAACAGCCAAGGAGGAGCUGGCAAAAGGAAUUCGACAGCCGGUGGAAGAGCAGGAACGUCGACGUCGAUGUGAGGAUCUCUGCAAUUUUAUAAAUUUUAAUAAUCUUUAAUUUAUUUUAAUAUUCGAUAAUUUUUUAUUUGUUUUCAAUAAAUAAUGUAUUGAUCAGU